CCUACGGGCGGCAGCAGUGAGGAAUAUUGGUCAAUGGACGAGAGUCUGAACCAGCCAAGUAGCGUGAAGGAUGACCGCCCUAUGGGUUGUAAACUUCUUUUAUAUGGGAAUAAAAUGUUCCACGUGUGGGAUUUUGUAUGUACCAUAUGAAUAAGGAUCGGCUAACUCCGUGCCAGCAGCCGCGGUAAUACGGAGGAUCCGAGCGUUAUCCGGAUUUAUUGGGUUUAAAGGGAGCGUAGGUGGAUUGUUAAGUCAGUUGUGAAAGUUUGCGGCUCAACCGUAAAAUUGCAGUUGAAACUGGCAGUCUUGAGUACAGUAGAGGUGGGCGGAAUUCGUGGUGUAGCGGUGAAAUGCUUAGAUAUCACGAAGAACUCCGAUUGCGAAGGCAGUUCACUGGACUGCAACUGACACUGAGGCUCGAAAGUGUGGGUAUCAAACAGGAUUAGAUACCCGUGUAGUC
rnacentral:rRNA from 1 species